AGAAAAUUAUAUUGGGAAGUUGUCAUUUCGACAGUAAAAACAGCUUUUUUUCAAGUAGUACGAAAUGUGACUUCGAUUUAUCUGUGGAACUAUUUGAACAGAAGGUAAAGCAGUAAUUUUGUUGUAUUUAGAAAGCAAACAGGGUCAUAUUUUUAAAAAUAUAGCGCACUGAAUAUAAAUUUGAGCAUCAUUAGAAUGUGUUCGCUAUGAUGCCAUUUUGUCUCCGGUAUAUACGGAGUUCUGCUUUUAUACUUGUGGAUAUUCGAAUUUAUUUGGCUCAAAAACACCAUUACUUCAAUAUCCCUUUUUUGUUUUUCCUUGGAUAGGUUUUAACAAGAUAGAACUCUAGAUCACUUGGGUCCAAAGACGCUAGAUUAUAAAAUCCUGAUGUGACUUGAUACUACGAAUAGAAUAUGUCUUAUGAUUUAAUACUACAAAUAGAAUGUCUUUUAAGUACAAACUUCAAUGAAUUGAUAAAGUGUAAGGAUAGUGUUUAAAGUCGCUUCAUGUGUAGAAGCUGAAUUACUUUAGUUUAUACACUGUAUAUUGUCGAGAUCACAUGUUGAUAUGACUUAAUACUAGCAACUUGCAAUAAGUGGUCUGUUCUGCUUGUUUAUAAUACUUUAGAGUUUGGACAUCAGAACAUUGUAAGAGGGUCUGAAUGGGGUUAACUGACUACUGACAUUUGCCUGAAUUUUUGACUGACAACUGACAAAAUGUCCUAACUGACAACUGAGAAAUAAUGACAAAACCAUGAGUCAGCUUUUUUGCAGUAACUGACUACUGACAGCUUGCAAUAUAUCGCACUGACAACUGACAACUGGCUUACAUUUUAGCUGACAACUGACACCCAUAGACCCCCAUUAAGACCCUCUUGUAAUUGCCUGACAGAGACUGUUAGGGCCUGUUUGUAUGGAAGCUGGGUUGGCCCGCUUAGCAAGACAGCCCGGUAAGGUAGGUAUUAAAGCAGGAUGAUUUCUCUUGUGUUUAUUUGAGAAAAUUUCAUUCUGCUUACCAGGACAAUUUUGUUGUUUUGACAUUAUUUUGACAGUUGUUAAAAAUAGCUUGCGGCAGUAUCUUUGAACUUUCAUCCUGGCAACCGGGCUAGCCUGCUUAUGAUUGUUUAUGUGGAGAAAUUUCCAUCCUGGUCUUGGCAACCGGGCCUGCCCGCUUGUCCAUAGAAAUGAUAAUUUGUACUAUAAAAAUAACUAGACAGCGAGAUCUCACUUACCGGGCUGUCUCACUUAGCGGGUUAGCCAGUUUCAAUAUAAACAGACCCUUACACAACUGCUAAAAGCUGCAAGUUUCUUUAAAGCAAUAUCAUCUAUAUCACAGAAUACAGUUUCUGUAGUGACUCUCAUUGUAACUCAGUAGUCUCAGUUAUUCCUUCUCAAGAAAAAUAAAAAACAAAGCUGUGUGGGUGUGUUUUUGCUCUAGCUAGUUU